UACGUAGGGUGCGAGCGUUGUCCGGAAUUAUUGGGCGUAAAGAGCUCGUAGGCGGUCUGUCGCGUCGAAUGUGAAAACCCGGGGCUCAACUCCGGGCUUGCAUCGAUACGGGCAGGCUAGAGUUCGGUAGGGGAGUCUGGAAUUCCUGGUGUAGCGGUGAAAUGCGCAGAUAUCAGGAAGAACACCCGUGGCUAAGGCGGCUCUCUAGUACGGUACUGACGCUGAGACGCGAAAGCGUGGGGAGCGAACAGG
rnacentral:rRNA from 1 species